CUUUUGACUUGCAACUUCCACCCCUUUCUCACACUGUAACUUUUGUCGUCACUGUAGCAACAUAUUGAAGUCGCCAUCGACGACAACAUCUCCAAGUAAAAAAGGGGUUGUGUUUUUUUAUUUGAGAAAGGGACAAUUAGCGAUUUCUAGAUCUAAAAAAAGAGUGGUUACAGUGUUGUCGCCGUCGUUGGCUUGGAAGGGAGAGUAGUUGUCGCCGCCGUCGUUGCGGUGGUUAUAAAUUUGUUGUUGCCUUUGGCUUGGAA
rnacentral:lncRNA from 1 species